rnacentral:rRNA from 1 species
CCUACGGGAGGUAGCAGUGAGGAAUAUUGGUCAAUGGCCGUAAGGCUGAACCAGCCAAGUCGCGUGAAGGAAGACGGAUCUAUGGUUUGUAAACUUCUUUUAUAGGGGAAUAAAGGUAUCCACGUGUGGAUAUUUGCAUGUACCCUAUGAAUAGGCAUCGGCUAACUCCGUGCCAGCAGCCGCGGUAAUACGGAGGAUGCGAGCGUUAUCCGGAUUUAUUGGGUUUAAAGGGUGCGUAGGUUGUUUUUUAAGUCAGCGGUGAAAGUUUGUGGCUCAACCAUAAAAUUGCCGUUGAAACUGGAAGACUUGAGUGUGUUUGAGGUAGGCGGAAUUCGUGGUGUAGCGGUGAAAUGCUUAGAUAUCACGAAGAACCCCGAUUGCGAAGGCAGCUUACUAAACUGUGACUGACAUUGAUGCUCGAAAGUGUGGGUAUCAAACAGGAUUAGAUACCCCAGUAGUC